rnacentral:rRNA from 1 species
UACGAAGGGGGCUAGCGUUGCUCGGAAUCACUGGGCGUAAAAGGGUGCGUAGGCGGGUCUUUAAGUCAGGGGUGGAAUCCUGGAGCUCAACUCCAGAACUGCCUUUGAUACUGAAGAUCUUGAGUUCGGGAGAGGUGAGUGGAACUGCGAGUGUAGAGGUGAAAUUCGUAGAUAUUCGCAAGAACACCAGUGGCGAAAGGCGGCUCACUGGCCCGAGUACUGACGCUGAGGCACGAAAGCGAUGG